rnacentral:lncRNA from 1 species
UAGUGGUUAUUGAGUAUAAAUUAAAGCAUAUAACAUUAAUAUGUUCUAGUCCUAAUAUGCAUGUGAUAUUUGCCACUUGCGGUUAAACAACUGCCAAGAUGCUAAAAAAAUAUGGAAUUUAUCUGAACUUAAACCCAUGUAUUUGCACCUGUUCUCAAUCAGGAACCUGAUGUUAAGUAGUAGUCGUUUGUUGAUGUGGUUUUUAAGUUUUUCUUGUUAUUUUAAGACCGUUGGUUUUACCAUUGAAAUCAUGUUUUGGAC